CUGCAGCUCAAGUGGUGACCGCUAUUAUUGGGCCUAAAACGUUCGUAGCCGGCUGAGUAAAUGCUUGGGUAAAUCGUGCCGCUUAACGGUACGAAUUCCGGGUAGACUACUCAGCUUGAGACCGGGAGAAGCUAGAGGUACUCCUGGGGUAGAGGUGAAAUUCUGUAAUCCUAGGGGGACCACCAGUGGCGAAGGCGUCUAGCUAGAACGGGUCUGACGGUGAGGGACGAAGCCCUGGGGCGCGAACCGGAUUAGAUACCCGCGUAGUCC
rnacentral:rRNA from 1 species